GGUGAAGCCCAGGGAAGCAGAAGCUGUAUGCAUCUUUAAGGAGGGACUCAGCUGCUCACGACAGCAAGCCUUGGGUUCAUUCAGAAGAACUGCCUCUGGAGAUAUUUAGAAGAACAUGAUGCCCAAGAAGCCUCAGCAGUCUUUGUGUGAACAAUGGACCAGCUGAGGCGAUUCCAGAGGAUUUCAGAGGAUUCACCAGAUCUUUGCAAAUCCUUCAGCUGAACAAGCCCACCCUUCUGAACUCUUUCACCCAGGCUUGAUACAUCAAGCAAACUUUGGUGGAGUUAUUCUUGCCUCACACCAAUGGUAAGAGGAAAGAGCAGCGUGUUUCAUGUUAUUUUGUGCCAGAUGUUUUGUUGGUAGAAAUCCAUAGCUCCACAGGCACCAAUUUCUUCAGGAUCUGGAAUGUCUGGCACAAUUUCUUUCUCCAUUCUGGACGGUCUGUGAAGGAAACUGCUUUGUUUUGCAAUAUUGAAUAUUCAUGCUGGGAAGUUAUAAGCAAAAGCAAAAUAAUGAGAGACAGGGUCUCUAAUAAGCUUCCUGUCACAUGAGGCUCUGGUUCUGUUGAAGCAGAUGUGGUUUCCAAAAUGUUUGUUGAGUGGUGAUUAGAUUCUGUCAUACUGAUGUUAUCUCUCUCUGAUCUCCUUCAAUACAAGUAGUUCUGCAAACAGCGAAAUCUUUUCUCCUAUGGAUUUAUAUCUCGGAUUGUGUUUCAGCGUGCAUCAGAUGUGAUGUUUGAUGGAGAUUGAGUUAAUUUUAGCCUGUUUCUUCAAUGAGAGAUGAAUAAUGUCUUCUUUACUUGGCUAUCAACUUUCACAAUUAAGCAUCUCCAGCGUUAAAUUUGAUUGGGAAUUAUGAACCAGCUCCAAAGUUAUUUGGGAUCAACUCAUGUAAACAAACAUGAGCACGAGUCUCAUUUGCUUACAAAAGCAACAGGUAAGAAUCAAUUAUAAAAUAUCUUGUCCUUGUGUAUUACCUGCUUGAUUCUGUUCUGGUUUAUUUGUGAUCAAUCACAGAUGAUGUGCUUUAUUUGUAAAGCUGUAUGAAGUAUGGGAAUCGUUUUGCUACACUGACUGCAUAUUAAAUCCUCAUGAAUUUAUACUUGUUACAGGCUACACAAGAGAUUACAUUCUUUUUUGAUUGUCCUUGCUGGAGCAUGGGAAGGAGGUGACAUGCAUUUUAACUUACUGUUUGCACAGGCAAGUGCAGAGAAAGAACAGAUUGUUUUUCCUUUAGAAUUAGUCCUCAUCAGUUCUGGUUUGGAAAGGAAGAAAGGAAACCUAGAAUUGAAAAUGACCUUUAGGGUUGCUGAGUACAGUUUUCUGCUUUGCAGUGAGCCACAUUCCCAAUCUUUUUCAUAAAGAGAUUGUGCUAUUCAGAAAUAGGCUCUUUCCUCCUUGUCUCUCUUAUCCUCCCAGUUUUGACUUUAUUUGGGUGUUUGCUCCAGAAUUUCCUUCUUUUAAUAGGAGGAAACCUUCUAAUUUCCAUGGUCAGUUUAUGCAUGUUUGUUGUUAUUCUAGGAACAUCCCUUAGGUUGCAUGGCUCUUUUCUACACCAUGUAACUAAUCUGAGACUGUACAUGUGAUCUGCUGUGCCAAGGCCAGUAAAAGAGGCAGGAGUUAGUCUUCCAUUCACUUAUUUCCCUCAUACUUUCACUGUUUAUAGCAAAGUCUUUAUGCAUUUUUCAUGAUAUGUCACAUUAAGCAAAGAGAAAGUUCCUGUGGAUCACAGAUAAUUUGAGGAACUGGUCAAGUGAGAAGGGUGCUGGGAAGGUUGGCAGCAGUCUCAGCUCACUGGCUAGAGGAGGAUGAUGUUGCACAGCCUAAGGAGGUCAUAUGAAAAUUAAGGAUACCAUGAUAAAGUAAGGAAAUGCUAGCCACUUUAGCUUGUUUGUACUAAAUGAGAGGCCUGAAGUCUUUCCCCCUUCCUUCCAUGUUGAUCUUUCAAAUGUUGGUAACAUCCAGUCAGGCUUCAUGUGGUUUGACAGGGGUUUAUUGGGGCUUGACCUGGGAAACUGUAAGCUUCCUUGAGCUUCAUGUGCAGGGUCAGGGUUCUGUACCUCCACCAAAGCUAACUUUUCUUUCAUACCCUUCUCAGUGACAAUACAAAUCCGUCUUGAUUUUAACCAUUUUACUUUUAUAACAUGUCUGAAUAACCUUAUCAUCAUCUCUCUGAUUAAUAACCCUACAUUAGGCCUUCAAACUCUCUACUUGUUACCUUUCCAAUGUAAAAACUAUUUGUCUAGAUUAAGAAAUGGUUAUAUGGCUAUUACAAAAUGUCAUCAGGAUUUAAGAAUAAAGCUUUAAAAA
ensembl:lncRNA